AAAUUACCCAAUCCCGACACGGGGAGGUAGUGACAAUAAAUAACAAUACGGGGUUCUUUCGGAUUUCGUAAUUGGAAUGAGUACAAUUUAAAUCUCUUAACGAGGAACAAUUGGAGGGCAAGUCUGGUGCCAGCAGCCGCGGUAAUUCCAGCUCCAAUAGCGUAUAUUAAAGUUGCUGCAGUUAAAAAGCUCGUAGUUGAAUUUCGGGACCAAUAUGUCGGUCGUGCCUCGGUACGUACUGGCAUCGUUGGUUUCUCCCUUCUGACGAACCAUGAUGUCAUUUAUUUGGUGUCGUGGGGAAUCAGGACUGUUACUUUGAAAAAAUUAGAGUGUUUAAAGCAGGCUCACGC
rnacentral:rRNA from 1 species